UGAACGCUGGCGGUGUGCCUAAUACAUGCAAGUCGAACGAAGAACCCUUGAAGUUUGUAUUCGUACUUACUGAUAGGAAUUCUUAGUGGCGAACGGGUGAGUAUCGCGUUGGUGACCUGCCCCAAAGAGAGGAAUAACAGUUCGAAAGAGCUGCUAAUACCUCAUGUUGUCAUGGUUUUUAGAAACCCAUGACUAAAGGAGACUUGUCUUCACUUUGGGAGGGGCCUGCGUCCCAUCAGCUAGUUGGUAAGGUAACGGCUUACCAAGGCUACGACGGGUAGGGGACCUGAGAGGGUGGCCCCCCACAAUGGAACUGAAACACGGUCCAUACACCUACGGGUGGCAGCAGUAGGGAAUAUUGCACAAUGGGCGAAAGCCUGAUGCAGCAACACCGCGUGUGCGAUGAAGGCCUUCGGGUCGUAAAGCACUUUUUGAGAGGAUGAGAAAGGACAGUACUCUCAGAAUAAGUCUCGGCUAACUAC
rnacentral:rRNA from 1 species